AACGUAGGACACGAGCGUUAUCCGGAGUUACUGGGCGUAAAGGGCGUGCAGGCGGCGUGGUAAGUCUGAUGUGAAAGCUCCCGGCUCAACCGGGAGGGGACAUUGGAGACUGCCAAGCUCGAGGCAGAUAGAGGGAUGUAGAAUUCCGGGUGUAGUGGUGAAAUGCGUAGAGAUCCGGAGGAACACCGGUGGCGAAGGCGACAUCCUGGACCGGUAUUGACGCUGAGGCGCGAAAGCCAGGGGAGCAAACGGG
rnacentral:rRNA from 1 species